rnacentral:rRNA from 1 species
GACGAACGCUGGCGGCGUGCUUAACACAUGCAAGUCGAACGAUGAAGCCUAGCUUGCUAGGUGGAUUAGUGGCGAACGGGUGAGUAAUACGUGAGUGACCUACCUUUGACUCUGGGAUAAGCCUGGGAAACUGGGUCUAAUACCGGAUACGACCAAUCUCCGCAUGGGGUGUUGGUGGAAAGCGUUAUGGAGUGGUUUUAGAUGGGCUCACGGCCUAUCAGCUUGUUGGUGAGGUAAUGGCUUACCAAGGCGACGACGGGUAGCCGGCCGGAGAGGGUGACCGGCCACACUGGGACUGGGACUCGGCCCAGACUCCUACGGGAGGCAGCAGUGGGGAAUAUUGCACAAUGGGCGCAAGCCUGAUGCAGCGACGCCGCGUGAGGGAUGACGGCCUUCGGGUUGUAAACCUCUGUUAGCAUCGAAGAAGCGAAAGUGACGUUAGGUGCAGAGAAAGCGCCGGCUAACUACGUG